CACGUGGGAACGUGCCCUUUGGUUCGGAACAACUCAGGGAAACUUGAGCUAAUACCGGAUGUGCCCUUCGGGGGAAAGAUUUAUCGCCAUUGGAGCGGCCCGCGUCUGAUUAGCUAGUUGGUGAGGUAAAGGCUCACCAAGGCUACGAUCAGUAGCUGGUCUGAGAGGAUGAUCAGCCACAUUGGGACUGAGACACGGCCCAAACUCCUACGGGAGGCAGCAGUGGGGAAUCUUGCGCAAUGGGCGAAAGCCUGACGCAGCCAUGCCGCGUGAAUGAUGAAGGUCUUAGGAUUGUAAAAU
rnacentral:rRNA from 1 species